AGUAAAAUCCAUCGAAUCAGCCUUGGUUUUGCCUUCUUGUUCAAAAGGUACCGAAUGGCAGCAUGAUCUGUGAAUACAAUGACUUUUGACCCAAUUAAGUAGGAUCUGAAUUUGUCAAUUGCAAACACUAUUGCUAGGAAUUCCUUUUCUUUGGUAGUAUAAUUGAUUUGUGCGUCGUCGAGUAUCUUGCUGGCGUAAUAAAUGGC
rnacentral:misc_RNA from 1 species